rnacentral:rRNA from 1 species
UACGGAGGAUGCGAGCGUUAUCCGGAUUUAUUGGGUUUAAAGGGUGCGUAGGCGGUUUUUUAAGUCAGCGGUCAAAUCGUGGGGCUCAACCCCAUCCAGCCGUUGAAACUGGGGUUCUUGAGUGAGCGAGAAGUAUGCGGAAUGCGUGGUGUAGCGGUGAAAUGCAUAGAUAUCACGCAGAACCCCGAUUGCGAAGGCAGCAUACCGGUGCUCAACUGACGCUGAGGCACGAAAGUGCGGGUAUCGAACAGG